rnacentral:rRNA from 1 species
GAUGAACGCUAGCGGGAGGCCUGACACAUGCAAGCCGAGCGGUAUUGUUUCUUCGGAAAUGAGAGAGCGGCGUACGGGUGCGUAACACGUGUGCAACCUGCCUUUAUCUGGGGGAUAGCCUUUCGAAAGGAAGAUUAAUACUCCAUAAUAUAUUGAACGGCAUCGUUUAAUAUUGAAAGCUCCGGCGGAUAGAGAUGGGCACGCGCAAGAUUAGCUAGUUGGUGAGGUAACGGCUCACCAAGGCGAUGAUCUUUAGGGGGCCUGAGAGGGUGAUCCCCCACACUGGUACUGAGACACGGACCAGACUCCUACGGGAGGCAGCAGUGAGGAAUAUUGGUCAAUGGGUGCAAGCCUGAACCAGCCAUCCCGCGUGAAGGACGACUGCCCUAUGGGUUGUAAACUUCUUUUGUAUAGGGAUAAACCUACCCUCGUGAGGGUAGCUGAAGGUACUAUACGAAUAAGCACCGGCUAACUCCGUG